CAACCUCUCCCUUGAUAGGAGGAAGCAACUGGCUUCCAGAGACCUGGAAAGGCCCUCCCAAUCCCUCUAGGCUUCCCAAACCAAGCCCCCAGCUUUUGUUUACAGGGGCAGGGAGUUUGUGGACAGCACCAUUUGUGCCCAGAGAGGGGAAGUGAUUUGCCCAAGGUCACACAGCCAGGGAGACUGAAUUUUUCUUCAGGUCAGGCCUCCCUGAAAAAGGGGUGCAUGUAGCUGGUGGCUGUGGCCUUGGGAAAAGAGACCAGCCCUUCUCUCCUGGCUAGGGGAGAGAAACUAGGCUGGGGGAGAACGAGAGGGGGCAUGGCAGGGACCUGGCAGGGACCCAGGGAGGAGUAGAACAGAGGCCCUGCUCCAGAGCACAGCAGGUCAAUGGGUUGGUUGUUGCCAUGGUUUGAAUGUUUUUUGCCGCCUCCAAAACUCAUGUGUUAUUAAUGCUGCUAUAAAAAGGGCUUGUGGGAGUGGGCUCCCCCUCUCUUCUGCUCUUCUGCCAUGUGAGGACACGGCGUUCCUCCCCUCCAGAUGAUACAGUGUUCAAGGCACCAUCUCGGAAGCAGAGAAACCGGGUCCCAACCCGCCAGCACCUUGGACUUCUCGGCCUCCAGAAGUCUGCCAAGACAUGUGCGGAAGACCCCAGAUGCUUUCCAAGUGCCCCUGUCACAGCAGAGCUUGGAUGAGCAAGAGGAGGUGGAGCGUCUGAACUUUUCCAGGGGCCACUUGAGGAAGGGGUUUCUGGACAUGGCUGGUUUGGAGCAAGGCUUUGAGAAGGAGGACUUCGGGCACAUGACGGAUUUGGGCCACGAUGACGCCGGGCUGCCUCUCACUAGCCUCUCUGUGAUGAUCUCCAACAGUAACUGGUGAAACCCAAAACAGUAAAUACUGACAAGGGGAUAGUAAUCAUGACUGUUUUACAUUCACUGAACUCGCUGCUGCGGGGGUGGGGACUAGAUGGUAAGUAAUGCGCAAAGACUGUAAAUCACCCCAAAAACCGAUAGAUCCAGCAGGAGAUUGACCCAACUUCCUGGCCCUGGUGCUGGUGUCUCCGGGGCCAUCAUGGGGGACAGCGCUGGGACUCCCAGCGUUGCUCUGGUGCAGGAUUAGGGGUAACCCCACCCCAGGAGACCGGGCCUGGGUUCCAGCCUAGCUGUGCCAACUAGUUGCUGUGCUACUCCGGGCUGGUCACUCCCCUGCUCUGGGCUCCUUCUCUUUCAGCUGUGAAUUGGUGGACUCUGAUAUUCUACAAUUCCAAGUCUCCUCUGCCCUACUCAGAUUCUUUAAGAUUUCUGAGCCUUUUAGGAAGAGGCUGGCCCUGUCCAGACUCCUAGGAGGGCUCAAGCAUGGGGAGGGAAUAGGGUGGAUGAGGGUCCUGCCAAGGCUCCUGCCUGGCCGGUGACAGGAAGGCAGUGGAUCAUGGCACAGCGAGCGAUUUUACUGGAAAGAUGAAAGGAAAUUGCAUCUUUAAUAAUUCACCGGCUGGUUUGAAGGGAGGCAGGUCGGCGGGGCUGUGGAGCCGCCAGGCUAUCCCAGCCUCUGUUCCUGGAAAUCCUCUGGCUCCAGAACCUGCCCGAGAGACCCGGGGCCCUCCAUCUCCUCCUGGCCCAAGGACAGCAUGAGCCGACAGAGUCUAGACCAGGGUAAGAGGUUAAAACACAGCCAUCCCGGGAACCCACUAAAUUGAUAUCCCCAGCAAAAAGGGAGCCAAAAUAAUCAAUACAGCAGCAGCCCAGGAAAGUGGCCAAGCUCGGGCCCCAGCCUGAUGGAGUCACUGCAGUAAAGGAGGGUCGGGCUCUGGCCAGCUGCCUGGGGCUUUGGUGAGCAGACUGGCAGCAGAGGCUCUAACUGGAGUCACCAGGAGUGGAAGGGCACCUGGAGGUAGGCAGGGGCCAUCAAUACUGUCCAGUUAGUGGGGUGGGUGCGGGGGGCCACGCUGCCUGGUGUCCUCCAUGGGUCCUUGUUUCGCCCUUCCUUCCUGGUCUCUCUCUCAAGUGGGAAUGCCUGGGCUCAUGCUGAUGCGUCAGGACCUUCAGCCUGCGAGCCCUGAGUGCCAGUCAGAGAAAGAAGCAGCUGAAGCCGGGAGGAGGUGGCACAGGACACAGGGAGAAGGUGCCAAAGAGUCAAAGGUUCUGGAGACCACAGGUGUUGGUUGGACUCCCAGCCCAGUCCCUCGGGCAAAUCACUCAUGGGUUGGAGCUGGUCCCCAUGAAUGGGACCUCAGGGGACACGAAGAGGUGCAAGACCCUGUGCUCCCAGGAGGAGCUUUGCAUCUGUAGGCUGUCAUCAUGAUUGGGCCUUUUCCUCAAAGGCUGUCGAAUCGUGGUUGAUUCCACUGAAAUUUCAGUGCUCUCCUGGGUGGGUUAGCCUGGGUGGAAACUGGAUUAGAGGGGAGAGAACACCAUCAAGGAGGCCAGACCACGGCAUGGUGGAAGUCCAGGGCCAAAACAGGCCCACACAGAGCAACUGUUAAAAUCUCUCUCCCUCUGUUCCCUCCCUUCCUUCCUCCCUCUCCUGCUAAUUAACAAAGACAACUCAAGAAUCACAGAGAAGGCCAGGAGUGGUGGUUCAUGCCUAUUAUCCCAGCACUUUGGGAGGCUGAGGCAGGUGGGUCACUUGAGGUCAAGAGAUUGAGACCAGCCUAGCUAAUAUGGUGAAAACCUGUCUUUACUGAAAAUAAAAAAAUUACCUAGGUGUGGUGGCGGGUGCCUGUAAUCCUAGCUACUUGGGAGGCUGAGGCAGGAGAAUCGCUUGAACCCAGGAGGUGGAGGGUGCAGUGAGCUAAAACCUAACCUUUGCACUCCAGUCUGGGUAACAAGAGUGAGAUUACAUCUAAAAAAAAAAAAAAGUCACAGAGAACACACCUUAAAAACUAACAUACCCAUCCUUCUUUUACAGAUGGGGAAACUGAGGCCCAAAUAACACUUCUAUGGGCACCUAACUGGUUGGGGUGGAAGCAGGACUAGAAUUCUCUGCCAUCCCCCAAUCCGUGCCCUUACCCCAAGUCCAGGAGCCUCUGGUUCCCUUCUGUCCAGCUCUAAUGCUGGGAGGCGUGGUGUGGCCUCGAGGCUGGGCAACUCACCCUGACUCACUGUCUGGUCCUGGCCCACUCUGGUCCUCUGAGGCUCAGCCUUCUUCCCUGGAAAACUAGGAUCCCACCCCCAACCCCAGCCAACCUCAGGGGGCCCUCAGGAGGGCCCAGGGACCAGCACAACUUUAAUUCCAGGUCAGCAAAACAUUUCUUACCUGGUAGGUCUCAUACUUUUCAAAGUCACCGGGGGUCAGAAAGCAGGCAAAGGUGGUUCCUGAGUAGAUCAACAGGUGGCUUCAAACCCCCAUUCGUGCAGCAAAGCUCAUGCUUUUUGGUAUAAAAAUGCCCCUCAGGCCCUCACGCAGGGCCUAUUUGCUCUUACUUGGCAGAGAGUUUGGACAAGUUUGGUGAUCUAGUUUCUCAGGCCACAACGGGUAUACUGAUAGUAGGAAGAAGAACUUUAUGAUGACAGAGAAGGGAGAACAAUUGUAAAAUGCAGAUCUAGUAAUUAAAAGAGCAAGGCAGAUGGGGUCCACCUUGACAAUCCCGAGGCUAAGCCUGCACUGCAGUCUGGUCUACUCAGUAGCAUUGUCAGAAGGACCUGAGUCACCAAGUUCCAACACACGGUGCCUUCUGAGAAAUUUGGGAUGUGGAGGAUCCUCUGUGGAAAGAUUCCUACCAAAAAAUGAAAAUAAAAAGUUUCGCUGUUUAAAAGGUAGAUGACAGCUACAGAAAAUGAAGGUAUGCGUAACGCCUCAUCCUGCAGCGUGCCAGGUGCCGGGAUGGAGAGAGCUGGCUGAACAUCAGAGCCUGCAUGGUUUCCCUCUCCCAUGGGGGUACCUCCCACCUGGCCAAUUAACUGGGUUUUCUCCUGUUCCUCACUGUUCCUCUCCCCUUUAAUCCAUGUCAGCCUCUUUCAAUCCCAGGCCAGGUCCUCCUGUGUAAGACAGAGAAGGUCCCACUCCGGGUAUAAUGGGAGGAGGGGAGGGCACUUAGGUGGAUGCCUGGUUUGAGGCAUGCCCAUGGUGUUAGCUGUACCUCCGUGACCUUGGGUGAGUCCCAAGGUCUUGGUAAGGCCCUCGAUGUCCUCAUCUGUUAAAUGGGAGGCUGGCUUUAAAUUGCCUUCCAUAUCCUGGUAUCCUGUGUGCUGCAGGAAGAUGUCUUCCUUAAUUCUUCCUGUCUUCUUCUGAUAAGGAGCCUCUGACUUUGACCGUCAUCGGCUGACCCCAUCUGCUGACCCCUGGCAGCCCACCCUGAGGCCGGCCUCAUGUGCUGGGUCAGCUCCCCACCAGGAGACUAGGUCCCUGGCCACUGCCUCGCUGGGCAGCCCCUCCCCGGGGAUAGGGGCGCCAUUGCCAGAAGGUGCAGCUGUGUGUGCCAGUAGGGCACCUCACUGUGGGAUUUUCUUUACGUGCCACCCUCUCUGCCGCUAGCCUCCACUGCAAGGUUCCCAUUGCCUCACGGUGGGUGCACAGGAGGGGGGUGGCAUUGACCUGGACAGCGACUGGACUUCAUUCUUCAACUACAGUGGCAACCCUCGGCUUGAGGACAGGGCGGUGUGUCUUCCUUCUGUAUCUCCCAGGGCAGGGCUCAGCUCUGUCUUGCACCCAGCAGGUGUUCAAGGUCAGCUGAUGGGUGCUUGGUGGGGCAUGACGUGGGUGGCUUUUGGGCUCACCUGUUAGUGCUUCACUGAGAAUGGCGAGGCCAACACCCUAAGUCUCAGCUUCAAAAGUGCUUAAAAGUUCAGCCAAACCCCACACCGACCCCAGUCCCGAUGACCCCCAUCCCAGCGGGUCCUUGCGGGAGAGCAGAUAGGCUUUAGUGCCCACCCAUGGCCCGAGAGAAUCAGAGGCACAAAGAGCCAGCAAGGUGGGGGAGUCUGGUGGUUAAGAGGGAAGAGAGCUGUCAUUUGUGGAGGACUCAGAGCUCAUGUUCUGUUUCUCCAAACAGUCCAACAAGAUGAGGUUGUACACGCUGGUACUCCCAUUCUCAACAGAGGAACAACGCGGGAAGAGGCCCAGUGAGCUGCCCAGCCUUCCUAACCCUAUUCCUCUCUCAGAGGACGUAUCCGAUUCAUCGC
rnacentral:lncRNA from 1 species